GUGUGUUUUGACAGGUGGUGGAACAAAUAUGAGUUUAUAUAUUAAUUAGACAACAACAUAAAACUCAUAUUAGUUCUACCUCCUGCUGAAUCACUCA
rfam:Arabis alpina cultivar Pajares chromosome 8, whole genome shotgun sequence.